rnacentral:tRNA from 1 species
GCCCUGGUGGCGGAAUUGGUAGACGCGCAGGACUUAAAAUCCUGUUUGCAGUAAUGCGAGUACGGGUUCAAUUCCCGUCUGGGGCACAA